rnacentral:rRNA from 1 species
AGGACGAACGCUGGCGGCGUGCUUCAUACAUGCAAGUCGAACGUGAAGCUGACUUCGGUCAGUGGAAAGUGGCGGACGGGUGAGUAAUAUGUAGAGAAUCUGCCCUUGAGUGGGGGACAACAGAGGGAAACUUCUGUUAAUACCCCAUAUGAGCUUAGUUGAAAUACUAAUCUUGAAAACUCCGGUGCUCAAGGAUGAGUCUGCAUCUGAUUAGCUUGUUGGCGGUGUAAUGGACCACCAAGGCGACGAUCAGUAGCUGGUUUGAGAGGAUGAUCAGCCACAAUGGGACUGAGACACGGCCCAUACUCCUACGGGAGGCAGCAGUAGGGAAUUUUGCGCAAUGGGCGAAAGCCUGACGCAAGCAACGCCGCGUGAACGAUUAAGCCCUUCGGGGUGUAAAGUUCUGUCAGCAGGGACGAAUCUUGACGGUACCUGCAGAGGAAGCACCGGCUAACUCCGUGCCAGCAGCUGC